rnacentral:rRNA from 2 species
GGGGGMCUGGGGGUWUUGGCUCYUUCUUGGUUWGGCUUGGGGSRGUUUUUCSCUGGGAGGCGUUGGCCCCUGGUUCUUYUGCGCCCUUGGGUUGGGUCGUGCUCGSUUUUGGUKGUUGGUGGGGUUUCGGCUCYCCCYGCCGGUUAUCGGUUGGGGCCGUGGGGGCGGUUGCCCCGCGSUGGGUUCUGUGUCYGCGYCCCYGGCCUUUCGGGGCGCGCCGGCGCGGGGCCUCCGCCGUUCGCGCCUGUGUGKCGGGGUUUCCCCCCGUGUCCUUUUUGGGCUGUGGCGGGUGAGUAAUGUUCCCCGCUAGACAGGAGAGGGCCAGGCUGGUGCCAGCCGCCGCGGUAAAACCAGCUCUUCAAGUGGUCGGGAUAGCUAUUGGGCUUAAYGUGUCCGUCGCCGGUUUAGUAAGUUCCUGGUAAAACCGGGCAGCUUUACUGUCCGUAUGCUAGGAAUACUGCUAUGCUAGAGGGCGGGAGAGGUCUGAGGUACUACAGGGGUAGGGGUGAAAUCUUAUAAUCCUUGUAGGACCACCAGUGGCGAAAGCGUCAGACUGGAACGCGCUGACGGUGAGGGACGAAAGCCAGGGGAGCGAACCGGAUUAGAUACCCGGGUAGUCCUGGCCGUAAACGAUGCAUACUAGGCAAUGGUGCGGCUAUGAGCCGCAUCAGUACCGUAGGGAAACCGUUAAGUGUGCCGCCUGGGAAGUACGGUCGCAAGGCUAAAACUUAAAGGAAUUGGCGGGGGAGCACCACAAGGGGUGAAGCUGCGGUUCAAUUGGACUCAACGCCGGGAAACUUACCAGGGGAGACAGCAGAAUGACAGUCAGGUUGACGACCUUACUCGACGAGCUGAGAGGAGGUGCAUGGCCGUCGCCAGUUCGUGCUGUGAGGUAUCCUGUUAAGUCAGGCAACGAACGAGAUCCGCGCCUUUAUUUGCCAUCAAGAAGUCACGACUUCGUUGGGAACACUAAAGGGACCGCCGUCGAUAAGACGAAGGAAGGAGCGGGCAAAGGCAGGUCAGUAUGCCCCGAAACCCCUGGGCUACACGCGGGCUGCAAUGGUGCGAACAAUGGGCUGUAACUCCGAAA